AAUAGAUACCCCGGUAGUCCAUGCCGUAAACGUUGGGAACUAGAUGUGGGGACCAUUCCACGGUCUCCGUGUCGCAGCUAACGCAUUAAGUUCCCCGCCUGGGGAGUACGGCCGCAAGGCUAAAACUCAAAGGAAUUGACGGGGGCCCGCACAAGCGGCGGAGCAUGCGGAUUAAUUCGAUGCAACGCGAAGAACCUUACCAAGGCUUGACAUACACGAGAACGCUGCAGAAAUGCAGAACUCUUUGGACACUCGUGAACAGGUGGUGCAUGGUUGUCGUCAGCUCGUGUCGUGAGAUGUUGGGUUAAGUCCCGCAACGAGCGCAACCCUCGUCUUAUGUUGCCAGCACGUAAUGGUGAGGACUCAUAAGAGACUGCCGGGGUCAACUCGGAGGAAGGUGGGGAUGAGGUCAAAUCAUCAUGCCCCUUAUGUCUUGGGCUUCGCGCAUGCUACAAUGGCCGGUACAAAGGGCAGCAAUACCGCGAGGUGGAGCAAAUCCCAAAAAGCCGGUCUCAGUUCGGA
rnacentral:rRNA from 1 species